CCAGCUUUGAGGUCAAUGCCAGCUGCCAGACUCAGGGCAAUUAUUGAGCCACUCACGCUGAUCAUGAAGAUACCCAAAUGGAUACCUCUGCCAUCGCUCACUCAUGUGUCACAGCAUUCCCAGCCACCUUUCUAAAUGGCACCGCUCUACCUAUAUUGACCCAAAGAAAGAGAAGAGGAUGAACUAGUGGUAGUGAACAGAAUAAAUCCCAUUUACCAAGG